GACCGAGGAGGCGCGCGUUAUCCGGAGUUAUUGGGCGUAAAGGGGACGAAGGCGGCUGGACCAGUCCGGGGUUAAAGACCACAGCUUAACUGUGGGGGGGCCUUGGAAACUGACCGGCUGGAGUGGGGCAGGGGUUGCGGGAAUUCCCGGUGUCGCGGUGAAAUGCGUAGAUAUCGGGAAGAACACCUGAGGCGAAAGCGCGCAACUGGGCCCUAACUGACGCUGAGGUACGAAAGCUAGGGGAGCGAAUGGG
rnacentral:rRNA from 1 species